rnacentral:rRNA from 1 species
AUUGAACGCUGGCGGCAGGCCUAACACAUGCAAGUCGAGCGGUAACAGAUCUAGCUUGCUAGAUGCUGACGAGCGGCGGACGGGUGAGUAACGCGUAGGAAUUUGCCUAGUAGUGGGGGAUAGCCCAGAGAAAUUUGGAUUAAUACCGCAUACACUCUACGGAGAAAAGCAGGGGAUCUUCGGACCUUGCGCUAUUAGAUAAGCCUGCGUGGGAUUAGCUAGUUGGUGAGGUAAAGGCUCACCAAGGCGACGAUCUCUAGCUGGUCUGAGAGGAUGAUCAGCCACACUGGAACUGAGACACGGUCCAGACUCCUACGGGAGGCAGCAGUGGGGAAUAUUGCACAAUGGGCGCAAGCCUGAUGCAGCCAUGCCGCGUGUGUGAAGAAGGCUUUCGGGUUGUAAAGCACUUUCAGUUGGGAGGAAAAGUUAUAGUUUAAUACGCUAUAGCCGUGACGUUACCAACAGAAGAAGCACCGCUAACU